rnacentral:rRNA from 1 species
AACGAACGCUGGCGGCAUGCCUAACACAUGCAAGUCGAACGGGACCUUCGGGUCUAGUGGCGCACGGGUGCGUAACGCGUGGGAAUCUGCCCUUAGGUACGGAAUAACUCAGGGAAACUU